UUUGGGGAGUAAAAAUUCCUUCACAAAUGUGUUGAUGGCUGGACAUUGCAUCAUCCUAGAAAACUUGAAGGCCAGUGAGGACAAAAGUAAAAAGUUAUAAGACUUUUAAGAAUGUGGAUUUUUGGGUUAUCUUUGGCGCCCCCUAGAACGUAAACCGUGGGGUGCAGCGUCAUGAUUUGUACAACUUUUAAUGGCCAUGGGGGGUAGAUUGGCCUGCGCAAAUGUGGUGCCGGUCGAACGAAAGCCUUUGGAGGAGUUAGCGAAAUUCCAAUGUGUGCAGAUCUGCAAAAAAUGCAAAAUAACCCAUUAACCGUACAUUUGACAGAUACGCCCGCACUGACUUUUUUGUAGAUCUUAUUGAGAUACAUGUGUGUGUCAAUUUUUGUUUCAAUAUGACAAAGCGUACAGCCGUCAUAUGAAUUUUCACCUUAGGGGGCGCUAUGGAGCCAUUUUGCAUUUUAUUGUUUGGGCGACUUCAGAAUAUCGAAUUUUUCACCAGGCCCGGUCGUCCUGCCAAAUUUCCUGAGUUGUCGCUAGUGGGAAGUGGGCCAUUUUCCAGUUUAAAGCGGAGGAAAAAUAAUAACGAACUAGGGCCCCGUUGGGGCACUGGCGGGCCCGAGCCGUGUCGCCCCCCCCCCCCCCCCCCCCCAACGGGCUGCCUCCCCGUCCCAUUCACGUCCUCUGGCCAUCGCCCUCUCUGGUAGCGCCCAUCACUGCAAAGACCCUUUUCCUUCAUCGGUGUUUGCUGUUCUUCCUGCCAGUGCGUGUUGCUUUCACUUACACUUGCCACAGCCAGCCUCGUGAGUGCCUAGCCUAUUGGAUAUCACUGUCACCUACACAGGACAGUCAUUACCUUUCUAUUAAUACUUUGUUUUUUAAUUUCACAUUAAUUUCCAUAUUGUAUAAACGACUGGAAAAAACUUGAGCCCCUGCCCCUGUAUAAUCAUGUGCACGUCCCUGUUCUAUCUCCAAGGUGAAUCUUCACUGCUCAUGUUCUCCUCAGAAGCAGUCACCUCAGUCCCCUCAGGUUACUGUACACAUGCACCAACUGCCUGCUUUAGGUUUGGAUGGAGCUUCAUGGUUGUCUUUUGGAGAAAUGAGCAGUCAAGUUGUGUUUGAAAUUUGAUUUUUUUCAGGGGCAAAAGGAAGCCCCUGCAUUCUUGUCAAAUAUGUAAAUAGCAUGUUUUUGCAGGUGCUAAAAAACAGACUCUGUGUGUGUGUGUGUGUGUGUGUGUGUAUGUGUGUGUUUGUGUAUCCUAAGCUCUGAAGAGACAGUAGGAGCAGCAGAACAAAGUGUAUUUGUAGAAAAGCCGUAAGAGCUAUUGAAACGCCGUUUUUGCAGGUUGAAAGGUUCACGUCUCCACCAAAGGUCAGAGGUCAAAUAACAUUUAAAUGUCAAACUGUGACGUCACAGUCGAGGUCCAAAGAUAGUGUGCACACCUGUCUUUGGUCAUUUCCCAUUAUAAUGAAUGGGAGGCGCAGUUUCUACCGAAACGCUGGCUGCAGACAAACUACAUGUCCUAUUUGAAAAAAGUCUGGACCAUGAGGGCACAAACACAGCUAGGAAAUAUCCAAACGGCAAGUUGCUCCUCCUUUCGCUUUUGCCGAGAGAGCAGUGCGUUUGAGCCAUUGAACUAUGAACAGGAAAAACUUGACUUUAUUCUCCUGCCAUGGGGGGGCGCUCUUUUAACGAGAAAAAACUCCUUCACAAAUGUGUUGAUGGCUGGACAUUGCAUCAUCCUAGAAAACAUGGAGUCCAGUGAGGACAAAAAUGAAAUGUUCUAACACUUUUAAGAAUAUGGAUAUUUGGGUCAUUUUUGGCGCCCCCUAGAACGUAAACCGUGGGGUGCAGCGUCAUGAUUUUUACAACUUUGAAUGGCCAUGGGGUGUAGAUUGGCCUGAAAUAUUUGGUGUCACUGGGACGAAAGCCUUAGGAGGAGUUAGCUACAUUCCAAUGUGUGUGAAUCGGCUAAAAAUUCGAAAUAGCCCUUUAACCGUACAUUUUACAGAUAUUUGUGCAUUGACUUUUUCGUAGAUCUUAUUGAGAUACACGUGAUUGUCAAAUUUUGUGUCAAUAUGACAAAGCGUACAGGCGUGAAUCUCAACACUAGGGCCCCGGUGGGGCACUGUCGGGCCCGAGCCGCGUCGCGCCGCCCCCAGCGCGACCGCCUCCCCCUCCCGAUUGCAUCACACUGAAGGUCCAAAGAUGGUGUGCGCACUUGUCUGUGGUCAUUUCCCAUUAUAAUGAAUGGGAGGCGCAGUUUCUACCAAAACGGCCGCUGCAGACAAACUACAUGUCCUAUUUGAAAAAAGUCUGGACCAUGAGUGAGGGCACAAACACAGCUAGGAUAUAUCCAAAUGGCAAGUUGCUCCUCCUUACGGUGUUGCCGGGAGAGCGAUGCGAUUGAGCCAUUGAGCGAUGGGCAGGGUUAACUGGACUUUUUCUCCUGCCUUGGGGGGGGGGGGGAUGUGGAUUCUUUUAAGAAUGUGGAUAUUUGGGUCAUCUUUGGCGCCCCCUAGAACGUAAACCAUGGGGUGCAGCGGCAUGAUUUUUACAACUUUGAAUGGCCAUGGGAUGUAGAUCGGCUUGAGCAAAUUUGGUGUCGGUGGGAAGAAAGCCUUAGGAGGAGUUAGCCACAUUCCAAUGUGUGCGAAUCGGCAAAAAAUGCGAAAUAGCCCUUUAACCGUAGAUUUUACAGAUACGUGCCCAUUGACUUUUUCGUAGAUCUUAUUGAGAUACACGUGUGUGUCAAAUUUUGUGUCAUUUUGACAAAGCGUAUAGGCGUGACAGUCAACAAUGUGUUUUUUCACCUUAGGGGACAAGAAAAAAUGUACUUUUUUCUCCUGCCAUGGGGGGGCGCCCUUUUCGGGAGUAAAAAUUCCUUUACAAAUGUGUUGAUGGCUGGACAUUGCAUCAUCCUAGAAAACUUGGAGGCCAGUGAGGACAAAAAUAAAAAGUUAUAAGACUAUUAAGAAUGUGGAUUUUUGGGUUAUCUUUGGCGCCCCCUAGAACGUAAACCGUGGAGUGCAGCGUCAUGAUUUGUACAACUUUUAAUGGCCAUGGGGUGUAGAUUGGCCUGAGCAAAUUUGGUGGCGGUGGAACUUAAGCCUUCGGAGGAGUUAGCGAAAUUCCAAUGUGUGCGGAUCGGGAAAAAAUGCGAAAUAACCCUCUAACCGUACAUUUCACAGAUGCGCCCGCACUGACUUUUUCGUAGACCGUAUUGAGAUACACGUGUGUGUCAAUUUUUGUGUCAAAAUGACAAAGCGUACAGGCGUGACAGUCAAUAGUGUGAAUUUUCGCCUUAGGGGGCGCUAUGGAGCCAUUUUGCAUUUUAUUGUUUGGGCGACUUCAGAAUAUCGAAUUUUUCACCAGGCCCGGUCGUCCUGCCAAAUUUCAUGAGUUUUCGCCAGUGGGAAGUGGGCCAUUUUCCCCUUCAAAGGGGAGGAAAAAUAAGAAGAAAGAAAGAAAGAAAGAAAGAAAGAAGAAGAAAGAAAAACCUAUACAGGAAUAAUAGGGCUCUACACCCGGCUGCUCUGCAGCUGGCUCGGUCCCUAACUAGGGCCCCGGUGGGGCACUGUCGGGCCCGAGCCGCGUCGCACCGCCCCCAGCGCGACCGCCUCCCCCUCCCGAUCGCGUCACACUCAAGGUCCAAAGAUGGUGUGCGCACUUGUCUGUGGUCAUUUACCAUUAUAAUGAAUGGGAGGCGCAGUUUCUACCAAAACGCUCGCUGCAGACAAACUCCAUGUCCUUUUUGAAAAAAGUCUGGACCAUGAGUGAGGGCACAAACACAGCUAGUAUAUAUCCAAAUGGCAAGUUGCUCCUCCUUUCGGUUUUGCCGAGAGAGCGAUGCGUUUGAGCCAUUGAGCGAUGGGCAGGAAAAACUUGACUUUUUCUCCUGCCAUGGGGGGCGCUCUUUUGGGGAGUAAAAAUUCCUUCACAAAUGUGUUGAUGGCUGGACAUUGCAUCAUCCUAGAAAACUUGGAGGCCAGUGAGGACAAAAAUAAAAAGUUAUAAGACUUUUAAAAAUGUGGAUAUUUAGGUCCUCUUUGGCGCCCCCUAGAACCUAAACCGUGGGGUGCAGCGUCAUGAUUUGUACAACUUUGAAUGGCCAUGGGGUGUAGAUUGGCCUGAGCAAAUUUGGUGUCGGUGGGACGAAAGCUUUAGGAGGAGUUAGCCGCAUUCCAAUGUGUGCGAAUCGGCACAAAAUGCAAAAUAGCCCUUUAACCGUACAUUUUACAGAUACGUGCGCAUUGACUUCUUCGUAGAUCUUAUUGAGAUACACGUGAUUGUAAAAUUUUGUGUCAAUAAGACAAAGCGUACAGGCGUGACACUGAACAGUGUGUAUUUUCACCUAAUGGGACAAGAAAAAAUGGAUUUUUUUCUCCUGCCAUGGGGGGGCGCUCUUUUAAGGAGUAAAAAUUCCUGUACAAAUGUGUUGAUGGCUGGACAUUGCAUCAUCCUAGAAAACUUGGAGGCCAGUGAGGACAAAAAUAAAAAGUGAUGGGGUGUAGAUUGGCCUGAGCAAAUUUGGUGUCGGUUAAACGAAAGCUCUAGGAGGAGUUAGCCACAUUCCAAUGUGUGCGAAUCGCCAAAAAAUGCGAAAUAGCCCUUUAACCGUACAUUUUACAGAUACGUGCCCAUUGACUUUUUCGUAGAUCUUAUUGAGAUACACGUGUGUGUCAAAUUUUGUGUCAUUUUGACAAAGCGUAUAGGCGUGACAGUCAACAAUGUGUUUUUUCACCUUAGGGGACAAGAAAAAAUGGACUCUUUUCUCCUGCCAUGGGGGGGCGCUCUUUUUCAGGAGUAAAAAUUCCUUUACAAAUGUGUUGAUGGCUGGACAUUGCAUCAUCCUAGAAAACUUGGAGGCCAGUGAGGACAAAAAUAAAAAGUUAUAACACUUUUAAGAAUAUGGAUAUUUGGGUCAUCUUUGGCGCCCCCUAGAACCUAAACCGUGGGGUGCAGCAGCAUGAUUUUUACAACUUUGAAUGGCCAUGGGGUGUAGAUUGGCCUGAGCAAAUUUGGUGUCAGUGGGACGAAAGCUGUAGGACGAGUUAGCCACAUUCCAAUGUGUGCGAAUCAGCAAAAAAUGCAAAAUAGCCCUUUAACCGUACAUUUUACAGAUACGUGCCCAUUGACUUUUUCGUAGAUCUUAUUGAGAUACAUGUGUGUGUCAAUUUUUGUGUCAAUAUGACAAAGCGUACAGGCGUGACAGUCAACAAUGUGUAUUUUCACCUUAGGGGACAAGAAAAAAUUGACUUUUUUCUCCUGCCAUGUGGGGGCGCUCUUUUGGGGAGUAAGAAUUCCUUCACAAAUGUGUUGAUGGCUGGACAUUGCAUCAUCCUAGAGAACUUGGAGGCCAGUGAGGAAAAAAAUAAAAAGUUAUAAGACUUUUAAGAAUGUGGAUUUUUUGGUUAUCUUUGGCGCCCCCUAAAACUUAACCGUGGGGUGCAGCAUCAUGAUUUGUACAACUUUCGAUGGCCAUGGGGUGUAGAUUGGCCUGAGCAAAUGUGGUGCCGGUGGAACGAAAGCCUUCGGAGGAGUUAGCAAAAUUUCAAUGUGUGCGGAUCGGCAAAAAAUGCGAAAUAACCCUUUAACCGUACAUUUGACAGAUACGCCCGCACUGACUUUUUUGUAGAUCUUAUUGAGAUACAUGUGUGUGUCAAUUUUUGUGUCAAUAUGGCAAAGCGUACAGGCGUGACAGUCAACAGUGUGAAUUUCCACCUUAGGGGGCGCUAUGGAGCCAUUUUGCAUUUUAUUCUUUGGGCGACUUCAGAAUAUCGAAUUUUUCACCAGGCCCGGUCGUCCUGCCAAAUUUCAUGAGUUUUCGCCAGUGGGAAGUGGGCCAUUUUCCAGUUUAAAGCGGAGGAAAAAAAAUAAUAAUAAUAACUAGGGCCCCGGUGGGGCACUGGCGGGCCCGAGCCGUGUCGCGCCGCCCCCAGCGCGACCGCCUACCCCUCCCGAUCGCGUCACACUCAAGGUCCAAAGAUGGUGUGCGCACUUGUCUGUGGUCAUUUACCAUUAUAAUGAAUGGGAGUCGCAGUUUCUACCAAAACGCUCGCUGCAGACAAACUCCAUGUCCUUUUUGAAAAAAGUCUGGACCAUGAGUGAGGGCACAAACACAGCUAGUAUAUAUCCAAAUGGCAAGUUGCUCCUCCUUUCGGUUUUGCCGAGAGAGCGAUGCAUUUGAGCCAUUGAGCGAUGGGCAGGAAAAACUUGACUUUUUCUCCUGCCAUGGGGGGGCGCUCUUUUGGGGAGUAAAAAUUCCUUCACAAAUGUGUUGAUGGCUGGACAUUGCAUCAUCCUAGAAAACUUGGAGGCCAGUGAGGACAAAAAUAAAAAGUUAUAAGACUUUUAAAAAUGUGGAUAUUUGGGUCCUCUUUGGCGCCCCCUAGAACCUAAACCGUGGGGUGCAGCGUCAUGAUUUGUACAACUUUGAAUGGCCAUGGGGUGUAGAUUGGCCUGAGCAAAUUUGGUGUCGGUGGGACGAAAGCUUUAGGAGGAGUUAGCCGCAUUCCAAUGUGUGCGAAUCGGCACAAAAUGCAAAAUAGCCCUUUAACCGUACAUUUUACAGAUACGUGCGCAUUGACUUCUUCGUAGAUCUUAUUGAGAUACACGUGAUUGUAAAAUUUUGUGUCAAUAAGACAAAGCGUACAGGCGUGACACUGAACAGUGUGUAUUUUCACCUAAUGGGACAAGAAAAAAUGGAUUUUUUUCUCCUGCCAUGGGGGGGCGCUCUUUUAAGGAGUAAAAAUUCCUUCACAAAUGUGUUGAUGGCUGGACAUUGCAUCAUCCUAGAAAACUUGGAGGCCAGUGAGGACAAAAAUAAAAAGUGAUGGGGUGUAGAUUGGCCUGAGCAAAUUUGGUGUCGGUUAAACGAAAGCUCUAGGAGGAGUUAGCCACAUUCCAAUGUGUGCGAAUCGCCAAAAAAUGCAAAAUAGCCCUUUAACCGUACAUUUUACAGAUACGUGCCCAUUGACUUUUUCGUAGAUCUUAUUGAGAUACAUGUGUGUGUCAAUUUUUGUGUUAAUAUGACAAAGCGUAGAGGCGUGAAUCUCAACAAUGUGUAUUUUCACCUUAGGAGACAAGAAAAAAUUUGACUUUUUUCUCCUGCCAUGGGGGGACGCUCUUUUGGGGAGUAAAAAUUCCUUCACAAAUGUGUUGAUGGCUGGACAUUGCAUCAUCCUAGAAAACUUGGAGGCCAGUGAGGACAAAAAUAAAAAGUUUUAAGACUUUUAAAAAUGGGGAUAUUUGGGUCAUCUUUGGCGCCCCCUAGAACCUUAACCGUGGGGUGCAGCUUCAUGAUUUGUACAAAUUUGAAUGGCCAUGGGGUGUAGAUUGGCCUGAGCAAAUUUGGUGUCAGUGGGACGAAAGCCUUAGGAGGAGUUAGCUACAUUCCAAUGUGUGCGAAUCGGCAAAAAAAGCGAAAUAGCCCUUUAACCGUACAUUUUACAGAUACGCGCGCAUUGACUUUUUCGUAGAUCUUAUUGAGAUACACGUGAUUGUCAAAUUUUGUGUCAAUAUGACAAAGCGUACAGGCGUGACAUUCAACAAUGUGUAUUUUUGCCUUGGGGGACAAGAAAAAAUUGACUUUUUUCUCCUGCCAUGGGGGGGCGCUCUUUUGGCGAGUAAAAAUUCCUCCACAAAUGUGUUGAUGGCUGGACAUUGCAUCAUCCUAGAGAACUUGGAGGCCAGUGAGGACAAAAAUAAAAAGUUAUAAGACUUUUAAAAAUGUGGAUAUUUGGGUCCUCUUUGGCGCCCCCUAGAACCUAAACCGUGGGGUGCAGCGUCAUGAUUUGUACAACUUUGAAUGGCCAUGGGGUGUAGAUUGGCCUGAGCAAACGUGGUGCUGGUGGAACGAAAGCCUUCGGAGGAGUUAGCGAAAUUCCAAUGUGUGCGGAUCUGCAAAAAAUGCGAAAUAACCCUUUAACCCUACAUUUGACAGAUACGCCCGCACUGACUUUUUUGUAGAUCUUAUUGAGAUACAUGUGUGUGUCAAUUUUUGUGUCAAUAUGACAAAGCGUACAGGCGUGACAGUCAAUAGUGUGAAUUUUCACCUUAGGGGGCGCUAUGGAGCCAUUUUGCAUUUUAUUGUUUGGGCGACUUCAGAAUAUCGAAUUUUUCACCAGGCCCAGUUGUCCUGCCAAAUUUCAUGAGUUUUCGCCAGUGGGAAGUGGGCCAUUUUCCAGUUUAAAGCGGAGGAAAAAUAAUAAUAACUAGGGCCCCGUUGGGGCACUGGCGGGCCCGAGCCGUGUUGCGCUGCCCCCCCCAACGCGCUGCCUCCCCGUCCCAUUCGCGUCCUCUGGCCAUUGUCCUCUCUGGUAACGCCCAUCACUGCAAAGACCCUUUCCUUCAUUGGCGUUUGCUGUUCUUCCUGCCAGUGCGUGUUGCUUUCACUUACACUUGCCACAGCCAGCCUCGUGAGUGCCUAGCCUAUUGGAUAUCACUGUCAUCUACACAGGACAGUCAUAACCUUUCUAUUAAUACUUUGUUUUUUAAUUUCACAUUAAUUUCCAUAUUGUAUAAAUGACUGGAAAAAACUUGAGCCCCUGCCCCUGUAUAAUCAUGUGCACGUCCCUGUUCUAGCUCCAAGGUGAAUCUUCACUGCUCAUGUUCUCCUCAGAAAUAGUCACCUCACUCCCCUCAGGUUACUGUACACAUGCACCAACUAUCUGCUUCAGGUUUGGAUGGAGCUUCAUGGUUGUCUUUUGGAGAAAUGAACAGUCAAGUUGUGUUUGAAAUUUGAUUUUUUUCAGGGGCAAAAGGAAGCCUCUGCAUUCUUGUCAAAUAUGUAAACAGCAUGUUUUUGCAGGUGCUAAAAAACAGACUCUGAGUGUGUGUGUGUGUGUGUGUGUGUGUGUGUGUGUGUGUGUGUAUAUGUGUGUGUAUCCUGCAGUACUCUGUACUCCUGCAGUGGCCAAAAAGACUUUUAAGAAUGUGGAUUUUUGGGUCAUCUUUGGCGCCCCCUAGAACUGCAGUACUCUGUACUCCUGCAGUGGCCAAAAUGACUUUUAAGAAUGUGGAUUUUUGGGUCAUCUUUGGCGCCCCCUAGAACGUAAACCGUGGGGUGCAGCGUCAUGAUUUUUACAACUUUGAAUGGGCAUGGGGUGUAGAUUGCCCUGAGCAAAUUUGGUAUCAGUGGGACGAAAGCCUUAGGAGGAGAUAGCCACAUUCCAAUGUGUGCGAAUCGGCAAAAAAUGCGAAAUAGCCCUUUAACCGUACAUUUGACAGAUACGCGCGCAUUGACUUUUUCGUAGAUCUAAUUGAGAUACACAUGAUUGUCAAUUUUUGUGUCAAUAUGACAAAGCGUUCAGGCGUGACACUCAACAAUGUGUAUUUUCAUGUAAGGGGACAAGAAAAAAUUGACUUUUUUCUCCUGCCAUGGGGGGGCGCUCUUUUGGGGAGUAAAAAUUCCUUCACAAAUGUGUUGAUGGCUGGACAUUGCAUCAUCCUAGAAAACUUGGAGGCCAGUGAGGACAAAAAUAAAAAGUUAUAAGACUUUUAAGAAUGUGGAUUUUUGGGUUAUCUUUGGCGCCCCCUAGAACCUAAACCGUGGGGUGCAGCGUCAUGAUUUGUACAACUUUUAAUGGCCAUGGGGUGUAGACUGGCCUGAGCAAAUGUGGUGCCGGUGGAACGAAAGCCUUCGGAGGAGUUAGCGAAAUUCCAAUGUGUGCAGAUCGGCAAAAAAUGCGAAAUAACCCUUUAACCGUACAUUUGACAGAUACGCCCGCACUGACUUUUUUGUAGAUCUUAUUGAGAUACAUAUGUGUGUCAAUUUUUGUGUCAAUAUGACAAAACGUACAGACGUGACAGUCAAUAGUGUGAAUUUCCACCUUAGGGGGCGCUAUGGAGCCAUUUUGCAUUUUAUUGUUUGGGCGACUUCAGAAUAUCGAAUUUUUCACCAGGCCCGGUCGUCCUGCCAAAUUUCAUGAGUUUUCGCCAGUGGGAAGUGGGCCAUUUUCCAGUUUAAAGCGGAGGAAAAAUAAUAAUAACUAGGGCCCCGUUGGGGCACUGGCGGGCCC